AGAGCUGGAUUGGAAGAGGAGCAGCUGGAGCCCAAACUGGUGCCCAUAUAGGAUGCCAGCACUGCAGGCAGAGGUUUAACCCACUGCACCACAGUGCUGGCCCUCUUCUUCUUUUUUAAAACUAGAUAUCUGUGUUUACUUUCCAUCAACCCUAUUUCCAUUUUGCUUUAGAGACUGUGAAAGGUGGCGUAAGACCGGUAGGUGGCUGUUCCUACCCAUUCAGUGGCCUGAGCAGUGGCAACUGCAGCCCAGUCAUCAGCAGAGGACUGAAUGCCCUGGCCUUCAAUGGGCAAACUGCUGCAUAGGCACAGAGGGCCCCUGCAUGCCUUCAGACCCCUCUGCAACGUCAGGUUGAGCAGCAGUAAACUCAGGAAGUGGGGCACUGCAUUAAUCCUGAAAUUUCUCCUUGGUCAUAGUUUUCUCAGCAGCAGCCUGCUUGUCUUUUUCAGUCUCUUCAGUAGAAGUAGAGCUCAGGCAGGACCUCCCAUGGGUGUUUGUGGGAGGUGGCACCACACAUGAAGAGAGCCUCCCGGGCCAGCAGCCACCACAUCAGACUCACUGGGUAGGCUCUCUGGUAAUUGCAUGGGAUGGCAAUUUCCACAUAGCCCAGAGGACUCCAUGUUUCACAGAGCAGUGGUAAGCAAGUUCACAGAAGAUGGCUCUGUGAGGGCCUGGUGGUCAGCCCUGGCUUAGUAACCACCAGAAGAUGUGGUUCCUAGAAAGCUGCCUGGAUCUGGUUAGUGAAGGUCCCAGGCAUGAAGUGACCAGCAAUAGGAGUAGCUCCAGUGGCAGCAGCAAACUUCCGCUCAGCCGCUGUGGCCAGUGUUCCUGGGGAAUGAGACACUGACAUCAGCAGGGUUUUUAGUGGUAGCGGUGGCACCAGGUCUUCUUCAGGUUUAUAGUGUUGAUGCUGCCGUCACUCUUCUUUUCCUAAAUGCCCUUUCCAUUUGGAAGUCUGCGUUGGUGCCACCUAGGUGGGUUUCUAUGGAAGGAAUUUGAGGGCAUGCUCCUUCUUCAUUUGCAGGACAUCAAGGGCUCUGGACAUUGUGACAGCUUCCCUAACAAUAAGUCUCCAGUGCACCACCACCCACUGGAAAAAGAGCACACAGUGACUGACAAGGUGAAAGUUCUGGGAGGAUAAGACUGAAGAACUCCUAAUUACCCAACUGUCCGUUUUAGUUUAAAUGAGAAUCUCUGCAUCAUUCAAGCCUGGAAAGGAGGAGAAAAAGGAAUCAAAGGGUCGAUCAAUUAUUUGGGAAGCUCUUGUCAUGUGACCGGGCACACACAUGUCAGAGUUGUGGAGCUUGUAGACUCUCUGGACUGCAGAGGUCAUGGGCACCCUUGACCGUGGAGGUUACUAUGGCUGCAGACAUUGAGGUCACCUUCACCAUGGACAGAGGAGGUCGCAGACUGAAGAGAUCGCAACUCCUCUGACCCAGAGGGCACACUCAUUCCAGACCAAGAGUGUCCC